ACUGAUUUGAAGAGCUUGCUCAGAUAUGACGAUGGACAUUGCAAAGAGUGGCGAACGGGUGAGUAACACGUGGGAAACCUACCUCUUAGCAGGGGAUAACAUUUGGAAACAGAUGCUAAUACCGUAUAACAAUAGCAACCGCAUGGUUGCUACUUAAAAGAUGGUUCUGCUAUCACUAAGAGAUGGUCCCGCGGUGCAUUAGUUAGUUGGUGAGGUAAUGGCUCACCAAGACGAUGAUGCAUAGCCAAGUUGAGAGACUGAUCGGCCACAAUGGGACUGAGACACGGCCCAUACUCCUACGGGAGGCAGCAGUAGGGAAUCUUCCACAAUGGGCGAAAGCCUGAUGGAGCAACGCCGCGUGUGUGAUGAAGGGUUUCGGCUCGUAAAACACUGUUGUAAGAGAAGAAUGACAUUGAGAGUAACUGUUCAAUGUGUGACGGUAUCUUACCAGAAAGGAACGGCUAAAUACGUGCCAGCAGCCGCGGUAAUACGUAUGUUCCAAGCGUUAUCCGGAUUUAUUGGGCGUAAAGCGAGCGCAGACGGUUAUUUAAGUCUGAAGUGAAAGCCCUCAGCUCAACUGAGGAAUUGCUUUGGAAACUGGAUGACUUGAGUGCAGUAGAGGAAAGUGGAACUCCAUGUGUAGCGGUG
rnacentral:rRNA from 1 species